rnacentral:rRNA from 1 species
AACAGGAUUAGAUACCCUGGUAGUCCAUGCCGUAAACGAUGUCUACUAGCCGUUGGGGCCUUUGAGGCUUUAGUGGCGCAGCUAACGCGAUAAGUAGACCGCCUGGGGAGUACGGUCGCAAGACUAAAACUCAAAUGAAUUGACGGGGGCCCGCACAAGCGGUGGAGCAUGUGGUUUAAUUCGAUGCAACGCGAAGAACCUUACCUGGCCUUGACAUAGUAAGAACUUUCCAGAGAUGGAUUGGUGCCUUCGGGAACUUACAUACAGGUGCUGCACGGCUGUCGUCAGCUCGUGUCGUGAGAUGUUGGGUUAAGUCCCGCAACGAGCGCAACCCUUUUCCUUAUUUGCCAGCGAGUAAUGUCGGGAACUUUAAGGAUACUGCCAGCGACAAACUGGAGGAAGGCGGGGACGACGUCAAGUCAUCAUGGCCCUUACGGCCAGGGCUACACACGUGCUACAAUGGUCGGUACAAAGGGUUGCUACCUAGCGAUAGGAUGCUAAUCUCAAAAAGCCGAUCGUAGUCCGGAUUGGAGUCUGCAACUCGACUCCAUGAAGUCGGAAUCGCUAGUAAUCGCGGAUCAGAAUGCCGCGGUGAAUACGUUCCCGGGCCUUGUACACACCGCCCGUCACACCAUGGGAGUUUGUUGCACCAGAAGUAGCUAGCCUAACUGCAAAGAGGGCGGUUACCACGGUGUGGCCGAUGACUGGGGUGAAGUCGUAACAAGGUAACC